ACAACAUUAGGACCGUCGGUCUACCGAGCAAUAUCAUUCACUUGGUAGAUCUUCCCUGUAUCGU
rnacentral:pre_miRNA from 1 species